UGAGGAAGUGACAGAGGAGCCGACGGAGUUCACAGAUCUUAGACGUGCAUGACCCUCCCAACAAUCAGGACCUAUGUUCAAGCAUGUGUAACACAUUCGCACUGGCGCACAUGCUGCAGAAAUGUUCCCAGAUUUAACUUAAAAUGGCAGCAGUGUAAGAACAGCAGCAGAGGGAAAGGAGCUACUUAGUUUGUUUCCGUUGACUGAUUAAAUUCUGAGAAUGUGAAAGAAAUUCCUGUGUUUACGUCGUGUUCCGGGUGUGUUAAUUCCCAGGCUUGUCAGAGAGACAUUUGGGGAGGAAAUUAGUGAUAUCUGAAGACUGUCUGGCCUCGGGCGGGGAAGAUGACACCCUGAGAAACAUGCCUGUCUCUACAGUCCCAUGGCAGACACAGAGAGAUGGUCCGAUCAGCAGGUGACCUUUGACCUCUGUCUCACAUGUCUACACACAGCAGGUCCUGACUGGCUGUAACCCUCUGGUGUUUCAAAGCCUAAAGACAGCAAGAAUGGUCGUACUUACUGCCACUACCAAGCGCCCAGCCUCCUCCGUGGAAAAACAACAACCCUCUCCUCAGAUGACCCUCCCCUCCAGCCGGGGGCUCAUACACUCGGACUGGGACACCAG